CAGGUAGGGAUACCCGCUGAACUUA
rnacentral:rRNA from 1 species